rnacentral:rRNA from 1 species
CUAAUAAUGCCAACAAUGGAUGCCUUGGAGAUUUUGACCGAGGAAGGACGUAGACGGCGACGAUACUCGUUGGGGAGGUGCCAUCAACCUUUGAUCCAGCGGUUUCCGAAUGGGGAAACCUACUUGUCUUUGACAAGUGCCCAAAUGUGAAGUUAAUUCCGUAAGGAGUUAUAUUAGUGUUUGGGUGGGCACGGCGUGAACUGAAACAUCUUAGUAACGCCAGGAAUAUAAAUCAUAUGAGAUUCCGUCAGUAGCGGUGAGCGAAAGCGGAACAGUCUAAACCACGUUAAGUGGGGUUGCAGGGCAGACGACAUCCGAUGUAAUUGUGAUAGUAGAAAGGUCCGGAAUGGCCUUCCAAAGAGAGUGAAAGACUCGUAUACGAAAUUACAAUUACCGGUAGUUUGUACCUAAGUACCAUGAAGCACGAUAAACUUUGUGGGAAUCCGGGACGACCACGUUCCAAGACUAAAUAUCAAAAUCUACCGAUAGUGAACUAGUACCGUGAGGGAAAGGUGAAAAGCACCCCGGGAGGGGGAUGAAAUAGAACUGAAAUUGUUGGCUAACAAGCAGACAGAGCUCCAAUUUAUUGGGGUAAUGUCGUGCCUAUUGAAGAAUGAGCCGGUGAGUUUAUGAUUGCUGCAUAGUUUAACCAACGACGUUGGGAAGACAAAGUGAAAGCGAGCCCUAACUGGGCUACCAUAGUAGCAGUCACUAAACCCGAAACCGGGUGAGCUAACCUUGAGCAGGUUGAGUCUCGAGUAAUAUCGAGAGGAGGACCGAACUCGUAUCCGUAGCAAUGGGUUGAGAUGACUUGAGGUUAGGGGCAAUAUGCCAAACGAACCCGGAGAUAGCUGGUUCUCCCCGAAAUAUAUUAAGGUAUAGCGCUGGUUAUAACACAGGGGGUAGAGCACUGAAUGGAUUAUGGGGGGGCAACUUCUCGUAUCCAAACAAACUCCGAAUACCUGUACUUUUAUUCCAGUAGUCAGACUUGUCGGGCUAAGCUGAUGAGUCGAAAGGGAAACAGCCCAGACUCCCAAUUAAGGCCUCUAAAUAGAAGCUAAGUUUUUAAGGAAGUCAUGGUCCAGAGACACCCAGGAGGUUGGCUUAGAAGCAGCCACCCUUUAAAGAUAGCGUAACAGCUCACUGGCGGAUGGAUUGUGGCGCCGAAAAUGUAUCGAGGAUUAAGUUUCUUGCCGAAAUUGGAGAUUCUAUGACAAUUUAUUGUUAUAGUCUGGUAGGGGAGCGUUCUGUUUGCGGUGAAGUUGAACUGUAAAGUUUGGUGGAGCGGACAGAAGUGAGAAUGCCGGCAUGAGUAGCGCAAUGCAGAUGAGAUAUCUGCACACCGAAAGCCCAAGGUUUCCUCCGCAAUGUAAAUCAGCGGAGGGUGAGUCGGCCCUAAGGUCCUUCCUCGUUAAAGGGGAUUAGACCGAUGGAUGAGUCGUUAACAUUCGACUACAAUCUAUACGUAUUGUAAGGUGGUGACGGAGUUGGAAGACUCGAGCCCGUUACGGCGGGUCUAAGCAGUUAGACAGAGAUAAUCGGCAAAUCCGUUAUCUUGUUUAUUCGAGCUGCGAUGGAAAGUAUCCCAGCAAUGGGAGACGAUUCGAUCUUUUUCAGUUUCCAGGAAAAGCCUCAUUAUACUUGUCGCAAGAUAAGUAAAACGUAUAUAUUACCGUACCGUAAUCCGACACAGGUGGGCAGGUCGAGUAGACUAAGGUGAUCGGGAGACAUAUGAUUAAGGAACUCGGCAAAAAAGCUAGGCGUAACCUAUGGGAGAUGCCUCGCCAGUACAUUUCGUACUGGCCACAGCAAAAGUUUACUUUGCAACUGUUUAUCUAAAACACAGGUCCCUGCAAAACCGAAAGGUAACGUAUAGGGGCUGACACCUGCCCAGUGCUGGUAAGUUAAAAAUCUCGGGUGAAGUUCGUAAGAAUCAGCCUAGGAUUUAAGCUCCAGUAAACGGCAGCAGUAACUAUAACUGUUCUAUGGUAGCGAAAUUCCUUGUCGGGUAAGUUCCGACCCGCACGAAAGGUAGAAUGACAAAGUAACUGUCUUAAUCAUAUACCCGGCGAAAUUGAGAUGGCUGUGAAGACGCGGCCUAGGUAUACAUGGACAAAAAGACCCCGGGAGCUUUACUGUAGCUUGGCAUUUGCAAGCUUACUCUAAUUAUUUAGCAUAGGAGGGAGAUUCGUCAUCAGUGAAAUACCUCUUUUUGGAAUGAGUGAGCAUAACUCCGACCCGCAUAAAAAUACGGGCGGGGGACAGUGUCUGGUGGGCAGUUUUACUGGGGAGGUAGGCUCCUACAACGCAACGGAGCCGCACAAAGGUUGGCUAACUCCGGAUGGAAAUCGGAGUGAUAGCGCAAAAGCAUAAGCCAGCUUGACUGCGAGACCCACAAGUCGAGCAGGUACGAAAGUAGGUUUUAGUGAUCCUGUGAUGCAUAGUGGUAUGCGCACAGCUUAACGGAUAAAAGCUACCCCGGGGAUAACAGGCUGAUCGCAUCCAAGCGUCCACAGCGACGAUGCGGUUUGGCACCUUAACUACACAUUGGGGCGCCCAGAGAGAGAUCUCUGAAGCUUGAUUAUUCAAAAACGUACGAUAGAGGUACGUGUGAAUAAAAAAUACUAGCUAAAAUCGGUGAACGCCAUUAACGCGAACAAUUAAUGGUCAAUACCGAGGGAAGCCUUCUUCGCGAAGCGAAGAACUGUGAACCAAGAACACAGAACGUAGAACUAUAAGGAAUUCCUUACGGUUUUUUGUUCAAAGUUCUCAGUUCAUAGUUGCCGAAAGGCAUGGCCCCGUAUCGACUUUCCCGUAUACAGCGGGAAGAGGUGAGUUCUAUCCUGAGUUAAUCAAAGGAUAAAUUUAUAACUUACCUAAAAGGCUAGCUCCUUUUACCAAAAAGGAUGAAGGUAUAGUCAGUGCACAUGGCAACAUGUGAUUCGACAGCGAUGUCGGCUCAUCACAUCCUGGGGCUGGAGAAGGUCCCAAGGGUCCGGCUGUUCGCCGGUUAAAGUGGUACGCGAGCUGGGUUCAGAACGGCGUGAGCCAGUUCGGUCUCUAUCCUGUAUACCCGUUUGAAAUUUGAGGAAGUUUGUCCCUAGUACGAGAGGACUGGGAUGAGGGAAUCCCUGGUGUGCCGGUUGUUUCAUGAAAGUGAGCACUGCCGGAUAGCUAGAUUCCCAUCGGAUAACCGCUGAAAGCAUCUAAGUGGGAAACCGUUUCCAAGAUAAGAUUUCGAUGGAUCGAAAGAUCUGAAAGACCCCUAGGAGACUACUAGGUUGAUAGGAGAGCAAUGGAAGCGCAGCAAUGUGUUAAGUUUACUCUUACUAAUGGUCGAUCGG